rnacentral:rRNA from 1 species
ACCCGAAUGGGGAAACCCAGUGUGAUUCGUCACACUAUCAUUAACUGAAUCCAUAGGUUAAUGAGGCGAACCGGGGGAACUGAAACAUCUAAGUACCCCGAGGAAAAGAAAUCAACCGAGAUUCCCCCAGUAGCGGCGAGCGAACGGGGAGGAGCCCAGAGCCUGAAUCAGCAUGUGUGUUAGUGGAAGCGUCUGGAAAGGCGCGCGAUACAGGGUGACAGCCCCGUACACAAAAGCGCAUGUGCUGUGAGCUCGAUGAGUAGGGCGGGACACGUGGUAUCCUGUCUGAAUAUGGGGGGACCAUCCUCCAAGGCUAAAUACUCCUGACUGACCGAUAGUGAACCAGUACCGUGAGGGAAAGGCGAAAAGAACCCCGGCGAGGGGAGUGAAAAAGAACCUGAAACCGUGUACGUACAAGCAGUGGGAGCACCCUUUUGGGUGUGACUGCGUACCUUUUGUAUAAUGGGUCAGCGACUUAUAUUCUGUAGCAAGGUUAACCGAAUAGGGGAGCCGGAGGGAAACCGAGUCUUAAUUGGGCGUUAAGUUGCAGGGUAUAGACCCGAAACCCGGUGAUCUAGCCAUGGGCAGGUUGAAGGUUGGGUAACACUAACUGGAGGACCGAACCGACUAAUGUUGAAAAAUUAGCGGAUGACCUGUGGCUGGGGGUGAAAGGCCAAUCAAACCGGGAGAUAGCUGGUUCUCCCCGAAAGCUAUUUAGGUAGCGCCUCGUGAAUUCAUCUCCGGGGGUAGAGCACUGUUUCGGCUAGGGGGCCAUCCCGGCUUACCAACCCGAUGCAAACUGCGAAUACCGGAGAAUGUUAUCACGGGAGACACACGGCGGGUGCUAACGUCCGUCGUGAAGAGGGAAACAACCCAGACCGCCAGCUAAGGUCCCAAAGUCAUGGUUAAGUGGGAAACGAUGUGGGAAGGCACAGACAGCCAGGAUGUUGGCUUAGAAGCAGCCAUCAUUUAAAGAAAGCGUAAUAGCUCACUGGUCGAGUCGGCCUGCGCGGAAGAUGUAACGGGGCUAAACCAUGCACCGAAGCUGCGGCAGCGACACUCAGGUGUUGUUGGGUAGGGGAGCGUUCUGUAAGCCUGUGAAGGUGUGUCGUGAGGCAUGCUGGAGGUAUCAGAAGUGCGAAUGCUGACAUAAGUAACGAUAAAGCGGGUGAAAAGCCCGCUCGCCGGAAGACCAAGGGUUCCUGUCCAACGUUAAUCGGGGCAGGGUGAGUCGACCCCUAAGGCGAGGCCGAAAGGCGUAGUCGAUGGGAAACGGGUUAAUAUUCCCGUACUUGGUGUUACUGCGAAGGGGGGACGGAGAAGGCUAUGUUGGCCGGGCGACGGUUGUCCCGGUUUAAGCGUGUAGGCUGGUUUUCCAGGCAAAUCCGGAAAAUCAAGGCUGAGGCGUGACGACGAGGCACUACGGUGCUGAAGCAACAAAUGCCCUGCUUCCAGGAAAAGCCUCUAAGCAUCAGGUAACAUCAAAUCGUACCCCAAACCGACACAGGUGGUCAGGUAGAGAAUACCAAGGCGCUUGAGAGAACUCGGGUGAAGGAACUAGGCAAAAUGGUGCCGUAACU